CUGCUGUCCAAAUACAAAACCCACCACUUCCCAAAUGCUACAUACUGCCUUCCCCUGCAGUUAUGUAAGAGAGCAGUGACCUUUCACGAGAAGAGCUUGGCAUUUACAAGACCCAGGUGCCAAGCUCAGGGGUUUCUUCCCUCAUUAAGGGCAACUGUGUCUGCUUGUCUGGCUCUAUGGCAUACAGCUGUGCUGUCUGACCACAGGGACCUGGCCUUGCUGCUGAGCAGACAUCUUUUGGAAAGUGAAUACACAAGGAGCCCUCACGCUUCCAUGGUCUCAGAAAAGUUUUAUCCAGUUUCCUUAUGGCCCAGGUCCUGUAUGGCACACCUGCCAGUGACAGCCUCACCUGUAACUUGUUUUCCUUCUGGAACAGCAGGUCCCAAAUCUGUGGCUGCUGCAAGUCACGGACACAGCCUGUAG
rnacentral:lncRNA from 1 species